rnacentral:rRNA from 1 species
UACGUAGGGACCAAGCGUUGUCCGGAAUCAUUGGGCGUAAAGAGCGUGUAGGCGGCUUGUUAAGUCUUGCGUGAAAUCUCGGGGCUCAACCCCGAGCGGUCGUGAGAAACUGGCAGGCUAGAGUGCGGGAGAGGAGAGUGGAAUUCCUGGUGUAGCGGUGAAAUGCGCAGAUAUCAGGAAGAACACCCGUGGCGAAGGCGGCAUCCUGGACCGACAUUGACGCUGAACGGCGAAAGCUAGGGGAGCAAACGGG